rnacentral:rRNA from 1 species
UACAGAGGAGCCAAGCGUUGUCCGGAUUGACUGGGCGUAAAGCGCACGCAGGCGGAUGCGCGCGUGGGGUGUGAAAUCUGGCCGCUUAACGGCCAGGCGCCAUCCCAUACGGCGCGUCUGGAGUGAUGCAGAGGUCGGUGGAAUUGCCGGUGUAGCGGUGAAAUGCGUAGAUAUCGAGAGGAACACCUGCGGCGAAGGCGGGUUGCUGGGCCGACACUGACGCUGAUGCGCGAAAGCCAGGGGAGCGAACGGG